rnacentral:rRNA from 1 species
CGGCGGACGGGUGAGUAACACGUGGGUAACCUACCUAUAAGACUGGGACAACUUCGGGAAACCGGAGCUAAUACCGGAUAAGAUAUCGAACCGCAUGGUUCGAUAGUGAAAGAUGGUUUUGCUAUCACUUAUAGAUGGACCCGCGCCGUAUUAGCUAGUUGGUGAGGUAACGGCUCACCAAGGCAACGAUACGUAGCCGACCUGAGAGGGUGAUCGGCCACACUGAAACUGAGACACGGUCCAGACUCCUACGGGAGGCAGCAGUU